UCUGCCGGGGACCUUGAUUCUGCUCUGCCUGAAUAACCCAGCUGCAAGCACAGUGUUCUUUUUCUGUUAAGCAGCAGGUAUCAUUUUUGUCCUGACAAGAGGAGGCUCCACCUGCCGACUGCCCACCAACGCAUCCAGCUGUCUGCUUUGCAGAACAGGCAAGCUUGUUUUCAGAAUUUGAAAAACGGAGAUACAAAGGGAGCUGUGGCAGCUGAAUUCUCUUUCAUGUGUGUCCAGUCCAGGUGAAGCCCAGCAUAAUGUACUGUAAUAUGUGUCUUCAAUUCUCUGAUACAAUGACCUGUGCAUCCUCUAAAUCCCCCACAGAAUGCGCAGACACAGACUGAUUGAGUCCACAGGAGCAGGAGGAGUCCCAGGCAGUCUUGGGCAAUUUUUCACCACCUUUAUCCUUGUGGAGAAUCACAGCACACGUGCAAAGAUGAUGUGCGAAUUCAGGAGGCACUCCAUGGCAUCUGUGAACAUGUGUGUCAAGGUAUGUUAAUUUUAAAAUGGCAAUUGCUCUGUCUAUCACUCAACAUCCCUUA
rnacentral:lncRNA from 1 species